rnacentral:rRNA from 1 species
GAUGAACGCUGGCGGCGUGCCUAACACAUGCAAGUCGAGCGAUUCUCUUCGGAGAAGAGCGGCGGACGGGUGAGUAACGCGUGGGUAACCUGCCCUGUACACACGGAUAACAUACCGAAAGGUAUGCUAAUACGAGAUAAUAUGCUUUUAUCGCAUGGUAGAAGUAUCAAAGCUCCGGCGGUACAGGACGGACCCGCGUCUGAUUAGCUAGUUGGUAAGGUAACGGCUUACCAAGGCGACGAUCAGUAGCCGACCUGAGAGGGUGAUCGGCCACAUUGGAACUGAGACACGGUCCAAACUCCUACGGGAGGCAGCAGUGGGGAAUAUUGCACAAUGGGCGAAAGCCUGAUGCAGCAACGCCGCGUGAGCGAUGAAGGCCUUGGGUCGUAAAGACUCUGUCCUCAAGGAAGAUAAUAGACGGUACUUGAGGAGGAAGCCCCGGCUAACUAACGUG